rnacentral:rRNA from 1 species
CCCUUAGAUGUUCUGGGCCGCACGCGCGCUACACUGAUGCAUUCAACGAGCCUAUCCUUGACCGACAGGUCCGGGUAAUCUUUGAAUCUGCAUCGUGACGGGGAUAGAUUAUUGCAAUUAUUAAUCUUCAACGAGGAAUGCCUAGUAGGCGCAAGUCAUCAGCUUGCGUUGAUUACGUCCCUGCCCUUUGUACACACCGCCCGUCGCUCCUACCGAUUGGGUGUGCUGGUGAAAUGUUCGGAUCGGCCGUUUGUCGCGGUUUCCGCGUCAUGUGGCUGAGAAGUUCAUUAAACCCUCCCACCUAGAGGAAGGAGAAGUCGUAACA